UGCAAAGUGAGCUGUGUUCCUCCUCUACUUCUGUGACUGCAGAGAGGAUGACAGAGAACAGUGGACACACAGUUGAACAUGAUGGACUAUAGGACAGGACUGCUGCUUUUAACUGUCUGCUGGGCAGGUGUUGAUGCUCAGACUCUGACAGAGUCUGAACCAGUGGUUAAAAGUCCUGGACAAUCCCACACACUGACCUGUUAUGCUUCUGGGUUCACAUUCAGCAGCUACUGGAUGGCUUGGGUCAGACAGGCUCCUGGACAAGGACUGGAGUGGAUCGCAGCUAUCAGUCAUGGUGGUGGCAGCUACAAAUACUACUCUGACUCAGUCAGAGGCCGGUUCACCAUCUCCAGAGACGACAGCAGACGACAGCUGUAUCUGCAGAUGAACAGUCUGAAGGCUGAAGACUCUGCUGUGUAUUACUGUGCCAGAGAGUCACAGUGACACAACUACCAGCAGAGCUGAACAAAAACCCCUUGAAGUCUGAACACCUGAACAUGAAGCCACCAGAGGAGGCACUCUAAGACCAGAAAUCAUUAAAUGAGCAGUAAAACUGUUAAGAGACUAAAUAUCAUCUGAUUGAUCACAUCAGAUAUUUAACUUUAAAUACAGAAACUAUCAACAUAGAAAUGUGGGAACCCAAAAUGGCUGAGCUAAUAAUUUGAGGAUUUGAUAUUUAUCAUGACAGUACUCAAACAUUAUUUCUGUAACUCCUGAACUCUGUCAUGGCCAUGCUAGGAUGUGUGAUAUGAAUUUUGUUGCAAGGUAUGUUGAAUUUAUAAAUGAAGACAUCCUUUCUGGUUGGUCGCUAUGCAGUGAACUCAUUGCACUACAUAAACUAAUAGUUGUGUGUGUAAAAGAAAAUAUGUCUGACUCCCAUGACUGAGUUAUGUUGGAAGUUAGA